UACGUAGGGUCCGAGCGUUGUCCGGAAUUAUUGGGCGUAAAGGGCUCGUAGGCGGUUCGUCACGUCGGGAGUGAAAACUCGGGGCUUAACCCCGAGCCUGCUUCCGAUACGGGCAGACUAGAGGUAGGCAGGGGAGAUUGGAAUUCCUGGUGUAGCGGUGAAAUGCGCAGAUAUCAGGAGGAACACCGGUGGCGAAGGCGGUUCUCUGGGCCUUACCUGACGCUGAGGAGCGAAAGCGUGGGGAGCGAACAGG
rnacentral:rRNA from 1 species